GCUCUGCUUAUUAGUUGGGUGAACCUGUGCAAGUCACUUAACCUCUCCAGGCCUCAGUUUCCCUAUCUUUAAGGGCUGGACUAAGAUGCUAAGGUCGCUUCUAGCUGUAAAUCUCUAUCACACACGCACGCAGAAACAUGCACCUCGGCCUCAGGGGAUCCCCAAAGUGGAAAGGUCGAUCUCCCCAAACCCCCCCGUCCACCAACACAGAGACAUUAAACGCGUAGGGAGGACGGGCCCAGCUCUUUUCUGUCAGUCCACAGACUUGGGGGUGGGGAGGAGGGGGGAGUGGUGCUUAUAGAACAGUCAGAGGCGGAACUGCGUCGCGUAGACCUCUGGGAGUUGUAGUCUGGCGGUCAGCCGAUACGUGAUAGAAGGAGUCUAGGAGUGGCUUCCUUUCCGCGACUCCAGCUCCCAGAAGUCUUUGAGGCUCCGUGUCCCCGAGGCCCACAGGAGAGAAUGGUUGGCGAGGAUUUUCCUUUCCGGGGGUUCGGCCUCUUUUGCGGCUCUGGCUUCCCACACUCCGGGCUGUCCAUAAACCAGAGCUAAACCUGGCUUACGAUACAAUCCAGGCCAGCUUCGGGUAUCAAGGAAGACACUUCUCGGUGGAGAUGGAUAGCUAUCCUGACCAACUAUGAAUUCAGAGUACAUUAUGGGAAAAAACAACAUGGAUGCCAAAAACUCAUCUCAUAGGUCCCUUGCAUAGGAGACCAUGGUGAUUUCCACAAUGGGGAUAAAGGAUCUGUGACUCAAAGAAAGAUGGGACAUUGAUACAAGAAAAUACAGGAGAGCCUGGAACUUCCUCCAGAGAUUAUGCUUUAGGUGGGAAUAAAUAACAUAGGCCUGAGCUAA